rnacentral:lncRNA from 1 species
GACAAAAUACUGAACAAAGCCUCAAGUUCAAAUACGAACGAAAAUAUAAUAUCUAAAUAUCUGAAUGGAAUAUAUCUGAAUCAACGUAAUGAAUAUAUUUGAAUCAACGUAAUUGACGAAACCAAUAAAAGAAUAAAGAAAUAACGAACUGAAGUAACUAACUCAAUGACUUGAACUAAACAGAAACCAACAAAACUAAUCCAAUAAAAUAAUAGGCUGAAACAAAUGGCUGGAGUUAUUUUAUACCGAA